AAACAGGCAGAUACAGCGUUAUUCCUGUUUUCUUCCCGGGGAAUCCCCUGCACCAGUGAGAAUGAUUUAUCUGUAGAGGAUGUGAUCAAAAUUAACGAGGAUUUCCAUUUCCGACAAAACAAUGUCAACAGACAGUCUUCUCUGGAUGACUUU